rnacentral:rRNA from 1 species
UGCGUAGGGGGCUAGCGUUGUCCGGAAUCAUUGGGCGUAAAGAGCGUGUAGGCGGCCCGGUAAGUCCGCUGUAAAAGUCAAAGGCUCAACCUUUGAAUGUCAGUGGAUACUGCCGGGCUAGAGUCCGGAAGAGGCGAGUGGAACUCCUGGUGUAGCGGUGGAAUGCGCAGAUAUCAGGAAGAACACCAACGGCGAAGGCAGCUCGCUGGGACGGUACUGACGCUGAGACGCGAAAGCGUGGGGAGCGAACAGG